AGCGGCGGACGGGUGAGUAACGCGUGGGUAACCUGCCCUAUACGCACGGAUAACAUACCGAAAGGUAUGCUAAUACGGGAUAAUAUAAGAGAUUCGCAUGGAUUUCUUAUCAAAGCUGAGGCGGUAUAGGAUGGACCCGCGUCUGAUUAGCUAGUUGGUAAGGUAACGGCUUACCAAGGCGACGAUCAGUAGCCGACCUGAGAGGGUGAUCGGCCACAUUGGAACUGAGACACGGUCCAAACUCCUACAGGAGGCAGCAGUGGGGAAUAUUGCACAAUGGGCGAAAGCCUGAUGCAGCAACGCCGCGUGAGUGAUGAAGGCCUUCGGGUCGUAAAACUCUGUCCUCAAGGAAGAUAAUGACGGUACUUGAGGAGGAAGCCCCGGCUAACUACGUGCCAGCAGCCGCGGUAAUACGUAGGGGGCUAGCGUUAUCCGGAUUUACUGGGCGUAAAGGGUGCGUAGGUGGUCUCUUAAGUCAGGAGUGAAAGGCUACGGCUUAACCGUAGUAAGCUCUUGAAACUGGGUGACUUGAGUGCAGGAGAGGAAAGUGGAAUUCCUAGUGUAGCGGUGAAAUGCGUAGAUAUUAGGAGGAACACCAGUAGCGAAGGCGGCUUUCUGGACUGUAACUGACACUGAGGCACGAAAGCGUGGGGAGCAAACAGGAUUAGAUACCCUGGUAGUCCACGCCGUAAACGAUGAGUACUAGGUGU
rnacentral:rRNA from 1 species